rnacentral:rRNA from 1 species
GAUGAACGCUGGCGGCGUGCUUAACACAUGCAAGUCGAACGAGAAGUGAAGACGGAAACCUUCGGGCGGAAGGCUUUAUUUCGAGUGGCGGACGGGUGAGUAACGCGUGGGUAACCUGCCUCAUACAGGGGGAUAACAGUUGGAAACGACUGUUAAUACCGCAUAAGACCACAGCACCGCAUGGUGCGGGGGUAAAAACUCCGGUGGUAUGAGAUGGACCCGCGUUCGAUUAGCCAGUUGGCGGGGUAACGGCCCACCAAAGCGACGAUCGAUAGCCGAUCUGAGAGGAUGACCGGCCACAUUGGGACUGAGACACGGCCCAAACUCCUACGGGAGGCAGCAGUGGGGAAUAUUGCACAAUGGGGGAAACCCUGAUGCAGCGACCCCGCGUGAGUGAAGAAGUAUUUCGGUAUGUAAAGCUCUAUCAGCAGGGAAGAAAAUGACGGUACCUGAGUAAGAAGCCCCGGCUAACUACGUG